UACGGGGGGAGCAAGCGUUGUUCGGAUUUACUGGGCGUAAAGGGCGCGUAGGCGGCCACUGCAAGUCAGUUGUGAAAUCUCCGGGCUUAACCCGGAAAGGUCAACUGAUACUGCAGGGCUAGAGUGCAGAAGGGGCAACUGGAAUUCUCGGUGUAGCGGUGAAAUGCGUAGAUAUCGAGAGGAACACCUGCGGCGAAGGCGGUUGCUGGCUGACACUGACGCUGAGGCGCGAAAGCCAGGGAGCGAACGGG
rnacentral:rRNA from 1 species